rnacentral:rRNA from 1 species
GUCCACGCCCUAAACGAUGUCAACUAGUUGUUCGGUGAGGAGACUCAUUGAGUAACGCAGCUAACGCGUGAAGUUGACCGCCUGGGGAGUACGGCCGCAAGGUUAAACUCAAAGGAAUUGACGGGACCCGCACAAGCGGUGGAUGAUGUGGAUUAAUUCGAUGCAACGCGAAAACCUUACCUACCCUUGACAUGUCAGGAAUCCUUGAGAGAUUGAGGAGUGCCCGAAAGGGAGCCUGAACACAGGUGCUGCAUGGCUGUCGU